rnacentral:pre_miRNA from 10 species
CUGGCACUCACCCAGGCAUGGUUAUCUUGCUGGGGCCUCCAAAUGUUGUAACCAAGUGAGCUGUAGAGAAACGCCACACUCUGAGACUAAUUCAGGAGUCCUUUUAUUG